rnacentral:rRNA from 1 species
AGUGAACGCUGGCGGCGUGCCUAAUACAUGCAAGUCGAACGGAAUUUAAAAGAGCUUGCUCUUUUAAAUUUAGUGGCGCACGGGUGAGUAAUAUAUAGCUAAUCUGCCCCUUGCUGGAGGACAACAGUUAGAAAUGACUGCUAAUACUCCAUACUCCUUUUUACCAUAAGAUAAAUCGGGAAAGAAUUUCGGCAAGGGAUGAGACUAUAUCGUAUCAGCUAGUCGGUGGGGUAACGGCCUACCGAGGCUAUGACGCGUAACUGGUCUGAGAGGAUGAUCAGUCACAUUGGAACUGAGACACGGUCCAAACUCCUACGGGAGGCAGCAGUAGGGAAUAUUGCGCAAUGGGGGAAACCCUGACGCAGCAACGCCGCGUGGAGGAUGACACUUUUCGGAGCGUAAACUCCUUUUGUUAGGGAAGAAUAAUGACGUACCUAACGAAUAAGCCCCG